AGUACGACCCUCUAUCUAUCUGCGAAUCUCGUUAGCUCGAGAUGUUUGUCGGAACGUAUAAAAGUAUACGUCGCACUCGUUAACGAGUUCGGACCUAGACGGGUAUAGGUCGAACAGGUCGAAAUUUCGCUCGCUCAUGAGUCCGCCGUCGUAAUGUAUCUUUUAUUAUCACCUGACGGAUAAUCUGUGCAGCGUGUAUAAUUAUAUUAUAAUAACAGCGGUUUUCGAUCCGAGACCAUUUCCUGUGCAAGUAAAAAAAAGAAAAAAAACACCUGCGAGUAUAUUCGUUGUAAUAUAAAAAUAUGGUUUAUGAGAAAAAUAGGCGAUAACCCUUUCAGAAACGUUUAGAAAAAAUUCGUUUUUUUUUUUUUUAAACGCUUUUUAACAGUAUACAAAUAAUCAGACAAAUUUUACCGCGUCUAGAAAAAGUCAAAGAAAACAUUAUAGAAAAUAAUGAAUUGAGCCGUUUUUUCCGUACAUUUUUUCGUUUUGCUUAUUUUUUCCUUCAGUUAAUCCAAAUCAAUAAAAAAUCCGAAAGGAAAAUCAGAAAACGAUUUUUCGACUCACAACUCAGAUACAGUUUAUUUUAAAAAAGAUAUUAUGAUUGAAAUACGGAGUAAGAUUUCUAGUAGAAA